ensembl:lncRNA TEKT4P2 tektin 4 pseudogene 2
ACUUCGCCAUUUUCCUCCGGAAGUGCGGAUCCCAGCGGCGGUCGUGUAGCUGAGCAGGCCUGGGGCUUGGUUCUAUGUCCCUGUAGCUAUGUUUCCAGUGUCCUCUGGGUGUUUCCAAGAGCAACAAGAAACGAAUAAAUCUCUGCCCCGCAGCGCCUCCACCCCAGAGACCCGGACCAAGUUCACACAGGACAAUCUGUGCCACGCCCAGCGCGAGCGCCUGGACUCGGCCAACCUGUGGGUGCUGGUGGACUGCAUCCUUCGCGACACCUCCGAGGACCUGGGACUCCAGUGUGACGCCGUGAACCUGGCCUUCGGGCGCCGCUGUGAGGAACUGGAGGACGCGCGGCACAAGCUGCAGCACCACCUGCACAAGGGCCACUGGUCAGGACCACCCUCUGGACACAGCCCCAGGAGCUGGGUAGGACCAGACUGGUCUCUACAUUCCAUAUGCCCGGGCAUGGGGGCACAGGCCCAAGGGGCACUGUCCUGUCUGCAGAUGCUGCGGGAAAUCACAGAUCAGGAACACAACGUGGUGGCACUGAAGGAGGCCAUCAAGGACAAGGAGGAACCUCUGCACAUAGCCCAGACCCGGCUGUAGUUGCUCUCACACCGGCCCAACAUGCAGCUGUGCCGCGAUGCAGCCCAGUUCAGCCCCAGCUCACACCCCCCAACACCCCCAAGCUGGUGAGUGAGGUGGAGGAGCUGUACAAGUCCAUCACAGCGCUGCGGGAGAAGCUUCUACAAGCGGAGCAGUCCCUGCGCAACCUCAAGGACAUCCACAUGAGCCUGGAGAAGGACGUCACUGCCAUGACCAACAGUCUCUUCAUCGACCGCCAGAAGUGCAUGGCCCAUCGUACUUGCUACCCCACCAUUCUGCAGCUGGCUGGCUACCAGUGAGCAGCGGCACGGUGCUUCCCCCCAAUCCCCCAAAUAAACAGUGCGUUAGCUUUC